rnacentral:rRNA from 1 species
GGAUGAACGCUAGCGGCAGGCCUAAUCAUGCAAGUCGAGGGUAGAGGAGAGCUUGCUUCCUUGAGACCGGCGCACGGGUGCGUAACGCGUAUGCAACCUACCUUUAUCAGGGGAUAGCCCGAAGAAAUUCGGAUUAACACGCAUAAAAUCACAGUAUCGCAUGAUACAAUGAUCAAAUAUUUAUAGGAUAAAGAUGGGCAUGCGUGUCAUUAGUUAGUUGGCGGGGUAACGGCCCACCAAGACCACGAUGACUAGGGGAUCUGAGAGGAUGACCCCCACACUGGUACUGAGACACGGACCAGACUCCUACGGGAGGCAGCAGUAAGGAAUAUUGGUCAAUGGAGGCAACUCUGAACCAGCCAUGCCGCGUGCAGGAAGACGGCCCUCUGGGUUGUAAACUGCUUUUAUUCGGGAAUAAACCUAUCUACGUGUAGAUAGCUGAAUGUACCGAAGGAAUAAGGAUCGGCUAACUCCGUG